CCUAUAAGACUGGGAUAACUUCGGGAAACCGGAGCUAAUGCCGGAUAACAUUUGGAACCGCAUGGUUCUAAAGUAAAAGAUGGUUUUGCUAUCACUUAUAGAUGGACCCGCGCCGUAUUAGCUAGUUGGUAAGGUAACGACUUACCAAGGCAACGAUACGUAGCCGACCUGAGAGGGUGAUCGGCCACACUGGAACUGAGACACGGUCCAGACUCCUACGGGAGGCAGCAGUAGGGAGUCUUCCGCAAUGGACGAAAGUCUGACGGAGCAACGCCGCGUGAGUGAUGAAGGUUUUCGGAUCGUAAAACUCUGUUAUUAGGGAAGAACAAAUGUGUAAGUAACUGUGCACAUCUUGACGGUACCUAAUCAGAAAGCCACGGCUAACUACGUGCCAGCAGCCGCGGUAAUACGUAGGUGGCAAGCGUUAUCCGGAAUUAUUGGGCGUAAAGCGCGCGUAGGCGGUUUCUUAAGUCUGAUGUGAAAGCCCACGGCUCAACCGUGGAGGGUCAUUGGAAACUGGGAAACUUGAGUACAGAAGAGGAAAGUGGAAUUCCAUGUGUAGCGGUGAAAUGCGCAGAGAUAUGGAGGAACACCAGUGGCGAAGGCGACUUUCUGGUCUGUAACUGACGCUGAUGUGCGAAAGCGUGGGGAUCAAACAGGAUUAGAUACCCUGGUAGUCCACGCCGUAAACGAUGAGUGCUAAGUGUUAGGGGGUUUCCGCCCCUUAGUGCUGCAGCUAACGCAUUAAGCACUCCGCCUGGGGAGUACGACCGCAAGGUUGAA
rnacentral:rRNA from 1 species